rnacentral:rRNA from 1 species
UUUCCUACGGGGGGCAGCAGUGGGGAAUAUUGGGCAAUGGGCGCAAGCCUGACCCAGCAACGCCGCGUGAAGGAAGAAGGCUUUCGGGUUGUAAACUUCUUUUGUCAGGGACGAAGCAAGUGACGGUACCUGACGAAUAAGCCACGGCUAACUACGUGCCAGCAGCCGCGGUAAUACGUAGGUGGCAAGCGUUAUCCGGAUUUACUGGGUGUAAAGGGAGCGUAGACGGCGUCGCAAGUCUGAAGUGAAAGCCCGUGGCUCAACCGCGGAACCGCUUUGGAAACUGCGAGGCUGGAGUGCUGGAG